rnacentral:rRNA from 1 species
CCAAUAGCGUAUAUUAAAGUUGUUGCAGUUAAAAAGCUCGUAGUUGAAUUUCGGGAUUGACGUGAUGGUCGUGCCUUAAGGGGUAUGAACUGUUGCUGUUGAUUUCUCACCUUCUGGAGAAACUUGAUGUCCUUAAUUGGGUGUCUUGCGGAUCCAGGACCUUUACCUUGAAAAAAUUAGAGUGUUUAAAGCAGGCAUUUUGCUCGAAUACAUUAGCAUGGAAUAAUAGAAUAGGACGGCAUGGUUCUAUUUUGUUGGUUUCUAGGAUUACCGUAAUGAGUAAUAGGGAUAGUUGGGGGCAUUAGUAUUCAAUUGUCAGAGGUGAAAUUCUUGGAUUUAUUGAAGACUAACUACUGCGAAAGCGUUUGCCAAGGAUGUUUUCAUUAAUCAAGAACGAAAGUUAGGGGAUCGAAGACGAUCAGAUACCGUCGUAGUCUUAACCAUAAACUAUGCCGACUAGGAAUCAGACGAUGUUAAUUUUUUAAUGACUCGUUUGGCACCUUACG